rnacentral:misc_RNA from 1 species
GAAAUGCGAUAAGUAGUGUGAAUGGCAGAAUUCAGUGAAUCAUCGAAUCUUUGAACGCACAUUGCGCCCCUUGGUAUUCCAUGGGGCAUGCCUGUUCGAGCGUCAUUUGUACCCUCAAGCUCUGCUUGGUGUUGGGUGUUUGUCCCGUCUCCGCGCGUGGACUCGCCCCAAAGUGAUUGGCAGCCGGCGUACUGGUCCCGGAGCGCAGCACAUGUCGCGCAAACGAGUGCCUUGGUACGGCGGCGUCCAUAAGCCCCUCUCUCACGCUCUUGACCUCGGAUCAGGUAGGGAUACCCGCUGAACUUAAGC